rnacentral:rRNA from 1 species
GGUUAACGCUGGCGGCGUGCCUAACACAUGCAAGUCGAACGGUUCUAAGCGCGAGCUUAGGAUAGUGGCGAACGGGGUGAGUAAAAGGUAGGAAUCUACCCCUUGGACGGAGAUAGCUACUGGAAACGGUAGGUAAACUUCGAUAAGCCCGAGAGGGGAAAGUGGUGAGACAGCCGAGGGAUGAGCCUACUCUCCAUCAGGUAGUUGGUGAGAUAAAAGCUUACCAAGCCGAUGACGGAUAACCGGUGUGAGAGCAUGAACGGUCACAAGGGCACUGAGAGACGGGCCCUACUCCUACGGGAGGCAGCAGUGGGGAAUCUUGGACAAUGGGCGAAAGCCUGAUCCAGCGACGCCGCGUGGAGGAAGAAGUCCUUCGGGAUGUAAACUUCUGAACUAGCCGAAUAAAAGGCCUGUGGACACACAGGAGAAGAAAGUAGGCUAGGAAAAGUCCCGGCUAACUACGUG